rnacentral:rRNA from 1 species
GAUGAACGCUUGCGGCGUGCUUAACACAUGCAAGUCGAACGAAGCACUCUAUUUGAUUUUUUUCGGAAAAGAAGAUUUUGUGACUGAGUGGCGGACGGGUGAGUAACGCGUGGGUAACCUGCCUCAUACAGGGGGAUAACAGUUGGAAACGACUGCUCAUACCGCAUAAGCGCCCAGUACUGCAUGGUACAGUGUGAAAAACUCCGGUGGUAUGAGAUGGACCCGCGUCUGAUUAGCUAGAUGGUGGGGUAACGGCCUACCAAGGCGACGAUCAGUACCCGACCUUAGAGGGUGGGAAGCCAGAUGGGGAAUGGGAAACGGCCCAAAGUCGAACGGUAGGCAGCAGUGCGGAAAAAUGAACAAUGGUGGAAUCCCUAACGCAGCGACGCAGCAUGAACGAAGAAGCAUUUCGGUAUGUAAAGUUCUAAUAGCAGGGAAGAUAAUGACGGUACCUGACUAAGAAGCACCGGCUAAAGACGUGCCAGCAGCCGCAGUAA